GUAACAUCUUCUCGAAGACGAGCCUCUGGCUCGUCGCCUUCUCGGCACUGAGGGCCAGUGCCAGAGCUUUAUUAUUGCGUUUUAAGGAGACCUUAACUAUGGAAGAGUUGUCUACAGGCAAAAUAAAAGGAGAAAAAAGAUGUAUCCACCGCCUCCUGAGACGCCAUGGUUGAAGAGCCCUGAGAGAGAGAGAGAGCGCGCGAGCGAGCAAGAGAGCAAAAGCAUUGUUUCUAAGCAACAGAAGAAAGCUUCAGCCUUGUGCGAAGCAGUAGCCUAGUUUCCUUCAGCUGCAGCAGAGGAACAACAGCAUCAAGAGGGAAUUCCAUCCUAAAGCUUCCAGGAAAUAGAGAGAUUCCAAAGCCUCGAUCCUUUUAAUAACCAUUGGACCAGCCAGAGAGUCU